CCUACGGGAGGCUGCAGUCGAGAAUUAUUCACAAUGGGGGAAACCCUGAUGGUGCGACGCCGCGUGGGGGAAUGAAGGUCUUCGGAUUGUAAACCCCUGUCAUGUGGGAGCAAAUUAAAAAGAUAGUACCACAAGAGGAAGAGACGGCUAACUCUGUGCCAGCAGCCGCGGUAAUACAGAGGUCUCAAGCGUUGUUCGGAAUCACUGGGCGUAAAGCGUGCGUAGGCUGUUUCGUAAGUCGUGUGUGAAAGGCGCGGGCUCAACCCGCGGACGGCACAUGAUACUGCGAGACUAGAGUAAGGGAGGGGGAACCGGAAUUCUCGGUGUAGCAGUGAAAUGCGUAGAUAUCGAGAGGAACACUCGUGGCGAAGGCGGGUUCCUGGACAUUAACUGACGCUGAGGCACGAAGGCCAGGGGAGCGAAAGGGAUUAGAUACCCCUGUAGUC
rnacentral:rRNA from 1 species